AGAAGGUCCUGUAUUCACACGGGUAAAAUAAUUAGAUUGAGAAAAAGCUAGAAUUAUCAUUUAAAUGCAAUAGUAUAUUAUUUCAGGUGGUACUGGAGCAACUGACUUCUUCGCCUUGGAACAAUAUGUUUUUCAUGAUUUACUAUGGGUUUGUUGUUGAGGGUGAGUCUUUCUUGCACCUUCUCAACCUGUAAAUUAUAUCAGCCAAUUAUGAACAAUAAACAAAAAUGGAGAAAAGUAGGUUCUUUUCUGGACAAUCUUAGUCAUUGUUUCCACUUUCUUGAAAAUCACAUUGUUCGAGAAUUACACUUAUAUGGCGAAAUAUUUAUAAUCUGUAUCAUGAUUAAUUCCUGAUUUUGUAUUCUGGAGCAAGGUUCAAUAUCUUAUUUCUGGUUUCGUCUUCAGUAGCUGUCAUUGAAGCUUUGUUGUAAUUAGUUAUCCCUCGAAUUAUUAUUGAAUUUUGUUUGGAAUAAGCAUAUAAGUUUUUUCACUUAACUGUUUUCAGUUAAAUCUGACCUAAAUAGAAUAACAAGACAAAUGGAUUUUGCUUACUCUACUAUUACAAUAUGAACAGGAAGACCCUGGAUCCAUGUGAAAUCCAAAAUAGAGAAGGAAUAUCCCACUGUGCAGUAUACAUCAUGGACAGUACGUGAUAUAAUCUCAUUUUACCUUUCGUGCUUAAAAGUUGUCGCCCUGUGAUCGAGUAAGGAGGAAAAAAAUGUGACUAUUAUAUUGGAUGAAUAAUUUGCAGUUCUGGCCAGUUGUUGGAUGGGUAAAUCACCAAUAUGUACCACUUCAGUUCCGGGUUAUAGUCCAAAGUGUUGUUGCAUGUUUCUGGUAUGUUGUUUUCUCCCACUUGGAAUUUUUCACGUUACAUUCUAGAGAACAAGUUUAUCCUUGAUUUCACUUCUAUUACGACUAGAGUAACUUUGGAUUUGCAAUAUCAGUUUUUAUUUCAUUCCUUUCAUUGAUUUUCCAGGGGAAUAUUUUUGAACCUGCGAGCAAGGUCUAUGCCGCUAAAAAAAGGUUAAUGAAGUCGUGAGAAAGGAAUUUGCAACAAGUACGAUUAUGUAGUCUCUGGACACUUGACUUUGCCUCUCUUAACUUGUAUUUUUCUUGAGCAGUUUAGACGUAAAAUCUGAAUGUCGAUGCUAUUGCGUAUCUGUAAGCACUUUAUUAUGCCGAACUAUUUAUUUAUCCAAGCUGUGGUAGUAAUGGCUUUUUCGAGAAUAGUCUUUUUUAUUUUUUGCCUCAGAAAAGAAAUGGUCCUAUAAUUUGCAAUAGUUUGGCCUUCAGGGAUUGAAUUUAUGUCCUGAUGAUAUUCAAUUUGUCACUGUCCAUGAUGUGAAAAGGGUAAAACCAAUAAAGUUACUUUUAAGCAACUU
rnacentral:lncRNA from 1 species